rnacentral:snRNA from 1 species
AGAUGUGAGGGCCAUCUAGCUGCUACAUCUGUCACCCCACUGAUCACCAACAAUAAUUCAGCUGAUCUGGCUUGCUAGGCCGGUGUCCCUUUCUUCCCUCACCACUCCACAUGCCUCCGUUCAGAAGCUGUGCUCAGUCUAAGAGGAUGACCACCCUGCAUAGAGGAGACUCAUUCUUCCGUGAAGAGUGUGUGGAUAGCAGGACUCACUUGCCAAAACCUCCAAACAACUUCUCAAAUUUGUUUACUACAGGGAAAGAGUUUAUAGCCCAUUCGACUCAUUCUUCCUUAUUAGGAAAAGUUGGGGCUGUAACUGAAGUGA